ACUGUCAUAAUUAUUUUUGGUAGAACUGAUCUUGUGAAAGACCUUGGAAAUGUUUCUUCUUUAGCUAAGACUAGAAUUUUGAAACUGGACUUGCCAAUCCUACAAUAGGUUUGCUCUUUCCUAGCUGGCCACCUUUCCUCUCUAUCCACAAAAGAAAACACUGAGGAGUAGAUUGUGUAAAUAGCCCUUCUAAAGAGGCCAUAGAUACAACACAGCUUUAAUUUUAAAGGAAAGUAAAGAUCCUUUUCUGAUUUGGAAAGAGCAAUGAAUUUGUUGAAUUAAGGUCUCAACUCUUAUUACUUACUAACUGUGUGACCUUAGCUAAGUCUCCACCUCUCUGAAUCUCAGUGUCCUCAGCUGGAGAGAAAAAACAGGAACCACCUCAACAGGGUUUGGAGAAGGAAAGUGCUCUGUUAACAAUACAAUUCUAUAGAAAUAAGAUUCAACUACAUUUGGGAUUGGUGAAAACUGUAUCAUGGACAAACGGGCCAGUGUUGUUUCAAAGAAGUUACUUCUAUUUGAGUGCUAAGUUUGGUGAUUCUGUGAAAUGGGCUGUCUCAGGAAGUAGUGAAAUCUCUCCCACUGGACAUUUUCAAGAAGAUUCUGGAAGACCAUCUUUUAAGAACAGGGACUGAAAGAUUCCUGCUCAGGUAUGGUUUAGACUACAUGACUUCUUAAGUCCCUGAAGACUUAAUUGAAUGUCAGCAUGAAUCAUCUUCCAGAGUUUAGGAUGGUAUUUAGGAAUAGCUUGUGCUUAAAGCAUUUAAGAUUAGGUAACAAAGGGGUAGCUGGGUGGCUUGGUGGAUUGAGAGCCAGGUCUAGAGAUGGGAGGUCCUAGGUUCAAAUCUGGCUUCAGACAUUUCCUAACUCUGUGUGUAUGUGUGUGUGUGUGUGUGUGUGUGUGUGUGUGUGUGUGUGUGUGUGUGAGUGUGUGAGUGAGAGAGAGAGAGAGAGAGAGAGAGAGAGAGAGAGAGAGAAAGAGAGAGAGAGUCUCAAUAUUGUAUAUUGGCUCCAAGGCAGAAGAAUGGUAAGAGCUAGUCAAUGGGGGUUAAGUGACUUGCCCAGGGUCACACAGCUGGGAAGUGUCUGAGGCCAAAUUUGAACCUAGGACCUCCCGUCUCUAGGCCUGGCUGUCAAUCCACUGAGGUACCCAGCUGCACACUUGGCUUGCUCUAAAAGGAAGCCAGGGGAGCCAGAAGACAGAGAAGAGAUGGGAUAGCAUUCCCAGGACAGGAGAUGGCUAGUGAAAACGUCUGGAGUCUGAAAUAUCUUAUUUGAGGGACAGCAAGGAGGCCAGUGUUGCUGGAUCAAAGAAUAUGUAAGGGAGGUGUAAGAUAGAAGAGGACUGGAAAGUGGGGGGUGGAGGAGAGGGGAUGAAAGGCUUUGAAUGUCAAAGAGAUUUUAUAUUUGAUUGUAGAGGUGAUAAGGAGCCACUGGAAUUUAUUGAGUAAGGAGGCGAUAAGGUCAAACCUCUAGGAAGAUCACGUUGACAGCUAGCCUGGAGAGGCUUGUGGUAGGCAGCUCCACCAGCAGGCUCUUGCAACAGUCCAGCUGUGAGGUGAUGAGAGCCUGCAGCAGGAUAGUGGUAGUGUCAGAGGAGAGAUGCGAGUAUAUAUGAGAGGUUUACAGAGGUGAAAAUUGAUAAGCUUUGCCAACAGAUUAGAUACGAGUGGGAGAGAGAGUGAGGACCUGAAAUCCACACUUAGCUUGUGAGCCUCCAUGACUGGGAAGAUGGUGGUACCCUUGAAAGUGAUAGGGAAAGUAGGAAGGAGGGACAUAGGGAGAAGAUAAUGAGUCCAAUUUUGAAUAUGUUGAAUUUAAAAUGCUUAUGGGAAAAAGUGUUUUUUGCUCUCUAUAGGACCUCCAGUUUGAGAUGUGAAUUUAAUGCAAAUUUGUACCCCUCUGUCCUUUUAAAAAAGAAAGUUUUGAAAACCCAUUUUGGUCUCAGCCUUACCCUUUCAUUGGGUGCCCGUAUGUACUUUGGAAGGACUUUAGAGGCAUCCCUGGAGACACUCGUUUCUGGCCCCACAUGGCUCCUGGCAUCUGGAAGCCUGACCUCUGACCCAGACUGGGGUCAAGCCUGUCCAACCAAGGAGACCCAGAAGGAGCGACAUCUCUGGGAUUAUAAAUUGAGGAAGCAUCGAGGACUUUUUGCUAUGGAGCAGAAUCAUGAGAUGAGCCACAAAUUCAGAUUAGCUAGGUGACAGUGCUUUUCUCUCUCCAACCCGCUUUCACUAUCUAAUGAAUAAUUAUAAAUUAAUAUAUAGUGUCCAGAGAAUUUUAAUCCUAAUAAUGUUCAAGAGGCAGUUGGAGGUGCAAGACUGGAAGGCAGUUUUGAGAUUAGGACUGGAUAAGUAGAUUUGAGAAUCAUCAGCAUAGAUUGAAUCCUCAGGAGCCAAUGAGAUCACCAAGUGAAUAAUGUAGUGCAGUGGUUCUCCACCUUUCUAACGCCGUGACCCCGCGGUACAGUUCCUCAUGUUACAGUGACCCCAAAACAAAAAAUUAUUUUGGUGGCUACUUCAAAACUGUAAUUUUGCUACAGUUAUGAUUCGGAAUGUAACUACCUGAUAUGCAUUAUGUAUUCUCAUUGCUACAAAUUGAGAGGUUGAGAACCGCUGAUGUAGAGGGAAAUCAGGAGAGUGAAAAGUAGGAUUUGCUAUAGCUUCACAGAAGGAUUCCUUCUCUAUUAGUGGGAGGUGUAGUAAGCAAAGGAAGAUUGCAAAGUGAUUCUGCAAAAUGAACUGCAUUUGACUGACAGGGACAGGUGACACAGAAUCACAUGGGAGCCUGGGUCAAGAUUCUAAGGUCCCAACUGAAAUUGAACUUCUGGGAGAAGCUUUGGGAGUAGCUGAGAUUUCCAUCUUUCUACAAGACCAAAGAAGAGCCAUCCCUUCUCUGCUGGAUCUACUUUGGACUUUACCUCUGGGAUCUUGGCUCAUUUACUGGGCUCUGUUUUGUGAGGUUCUGUUUGGGAGGAACUUCACUUAUUUAGCCUAGAUAAAUUGGCCAUUGGGAUUGUAUUAAGGGAAUUUAUGUUUGGGGAUAAGAUUAAGAACUUUUCCUUCCCCUUUGUUACCCUCCUUCCUCAUCCAUUCCCAUCAAUAAACUUAAAAUAUUUAGAUGUUUCCCUCUUGUCUCUUUCCCUUAAAGAAUCCCAUAAUGACAGAGGUAGAAAAUAGUUCUAAUAGCACAGGGACUAGAGAAAUUCCACACUAGAUGAAUCAUUUAUUUAUUAAGUGCCUGUUAUAUGCCAAAUAAUUGUCCUAGACACUGUGGCUACAGACAGAAUUCAUAAUAGUUCUUGUCCUCAUGGAGGUUACAUUCUAUGCACAUAUAAGUAAUUGUGAUUUUUUGAGCUCUGAUUUAGGUCUCACAUUUCAAGGGAUCUUAAUUUCUUCUUCCUUGGGAGUUCAGAAUAAUAUCCUGUGGAUCAUACCAAGCAGAAUAUUCUCUGUGCUCUGUACUAUGGUUCUUCUCAGCUUUAAAAUCCUAUGAAGGGGUAGAGCCUAAGAGAGGAAAUAAUACAUGUACAUGAAAAACCAUAAUAAGGAAAGAAAUUAGCAUUAUAAAGUCCUUACUAUGUGCUAAGCAUUCCACUAAGUGCUUUUUACAAAUACCUCAUUUGGUCCUCCUAACAACCCUGAAAGUAAGUACUAUUGUUAUCCUCAUUUUACAAUUGAGGAAACUGAGGCAAAUAGACAUUAAGUGAUCACACAGGUUAAUAAGUGUCUGAGGCUGAUUUUGAACUCAGGCGUUCCUGCCUCCAGUUGCAGUGUUAUAUCCAUUGCACCACCAGUCACCUCAUACAUUAUUCUAUAAAGUUGAAUGACAAAAGGAAAGUACAAAGUUCUUUGUUAAAAUAGU